AUGCUCUCUUUGGCAGCACAUAUACUAAAGUUGGAACAAUACAGAGAAUAUUAGCAUGGUCCCUGCACAAGGAUGACACGAAAAUACGUGAAGCAUUCCAUAUUUUA